UAUGUGAUCGUCUCUCGCAUAUCAAUAAGCGGAGGAAAAGAAACUAACAAGGAUUCCCCUAGUAACGGCGAGUGAAGCGGGAAGAGCUCAAAUUUGAAAUCUUAAAGGGUUUCCCUUUACGAAUUGUAGUUUAAAGAAGUGUUUUCUGUUGAGGUUUUGGUAAAAGUUCUUUGGAAUAGGACAUCAUAGAGGGUGAGAAUCCCGUAUUUGACCUUUACUUUCAACUUUGUGAUACACUUUCAAAGAGUCGGAUUGUUUGGGAAUGCAGUCCAAAAUGGGUGGUAAAUUUCAUCUAAAGCUAAAUAUUGGCGAGAGACCGAUAGCGAACAAGUACCGUGAGGGAAAGAUGAAAAGAACUUUGAAAAGAGAGUUAAACAGUACGUGAAAUUGUCAAAAGGGAAGCGUUUGACACCAGUGUUGUUUUUCUGAAAAUCAAUUAAAGAACUGUUUAUGCUAAGUUGUUUAGACUUUAGUCAGCUAACUGUUUAGUUUUGAGCUUUUCUUUAAUGCACUUUUCAGUUAACAAGUCAACAUCAAUUUCUUUUGCUGUAAAAAAGCUUGAGGAAGGUGGCUUGAGAUUCGUCUUAAGUGUUUAUAGCCUCUUGCCUAUGCAGUCGGAGAGAUUGAGGUCUGCAGCGUAGAUCCUUCGGGGCUAAAUGCAUUUGUGCUAAGUUAUAGCAUUUUAUAGACAACUUGUUGACUAUGAUUUGUCUUGUAGCUUACUCGCUUAUGUUAUUUUACCUACGCUUAGGAUGUUGAGUCAUCACACAUCUCU
rnacentral:rRNA from 1 species